GACGAACCGUGCGAACGUUGUUCGGAAUCACUGGGCUUAAAGGGCGCGUAGGCGGCUCUGAAAGUCCGGGGUGAAAGCCCCCAGCUUAACUGGGGAAGUGCCUCGGAUACUGCGGAGCUCGAGGGAGGUAGGGGGCGGAUGGAACUUCCGGUGGAGCGGUGAAAUGCGUUGAUAUCGGAAGGAACGCCGGUGGCGAAAGCGAAUCCGCUGGCCCUCUA
rnacentral:rRNA from 1 species